rnacentral:rRNA from 1 species
GACGAACGCUGGCGGCGUGCUUAACACAUGCAAGUCGAACGGAGUUUAAAUCAGUAGUUUACUACAGAUUUAAACUUAGUGGCGGACGGGUGAGUAACACGUGGGCAACCUGCCCUAAAGAGGGGGAUAACACCGAGAAAUCGGUGCUAAUACCGCAUAAAAUUAGAGCUUCGCAUGGAGCUUUAAUCAAAGGAGUAAUCCGCUUUAGGAUGGGCCCGCGUCUGAUUAGCUAGUUGGUGAGGUAGAGGCUCACCAAGGCGACGAUCAGUAGCCGAUCUGAGAGGAUGACCGGCCACACUGGAACUGAGACACGGUCCAGACUCCUACGGGAGGCAGCAGUGGGGAAUAUUGCACAAUGGGGGGAACCCUGAUGCAGCAACGCCGCGUGGAGGAAGAAGGUUUUCGGAUUGUAAACUCCUGUCUUUUGGGACGAUAAUGACGGUACCAAAAGAGGAAGCCACGGCUAACUACGUG